GGGUGCCCCUGCCCUGCAGUCGGGCCCUGUGGGGACACCAGCCCCCAGCCCUUGCCCUGCAGGCCCCACAGCCACUGCCCGGGGCUGCUUGAGCACAGGCCCAGGCCCUGGAGCCCCCGUGGGGCAGGGACGAGGGGGAGAGAGGCACCGAGCGACAGGGAGAGUGUACGGAUGCAUUUAUGAAGGCAAGUGUUGGGUCUUAUUGGCGCCGCACAAGAAACCAACGUGUGAUACCCAGACAUUCACUGUUAGAAACAGGAAAAAGCUAUGGGCCCUUGCUUCAGAUUCUGCAAAAGAUGUACCAAGGCUGAGGAAAAUGGCAAAAAGGGAAGAAAUGCCAUAGCAUAACUUUGGGAUGGCAGAUUGUACACAAAUGGGAGGCCUGAGCAGGCUGCUUUUAGCAGGGGAACGUGACCUGACUGCACAGGAGGCAAGGAACUCCCUUCUCUCGCUGACCAUGAGCCCUCAGUUUCAAGGCAGAUCUGAAGAGGAAUAUUUGACCCGUGGGAAUUGCAACUUCAGAUACGUAACUCAGGUGGGACCGCCGUGUGUGCCCUGUGAUAGGAGCCGUGUAUCCCAACCGUGAACGUAGAGGUUGGGCCCGGUUUU